rnacentral:tRNA from 1 species
AAGAAGCUAGUUUAAAAAAAAACAUUUAACUGUCAAAUAAAAAAUACAUUCUAUGUGCAUCUUG